CAAGUCCCACUCCGUAUCAAACAAGGGCAUUGAUAGGAAUUACUCUGUAUUAUUUUAUUCUCAAGUCUACUCUGAGACCAAUAGGAACUUAUCACUCCUCAACAAAUCCUCAACGUUACUUUCCGUCAUUUAUGAGCAAAUCAACUCGUGAAUUAGGACCAAAGGAAGAUACUUCUAAUUUGAUCAUCCAUCUCAAGAAAUGUUCUUAGUCUUAUUCGAAACUCCGUUUUCUACAA
rnacentral:lncRNA from 1 species